rnacentral:rRNA from 1 species
UACGUAGGGUGCAAGCGUUGUCCGGAAUUAUUGGGCGUAAAGAGCUCGUAGGCGGUUUGUCGCGUCUGCUGUGAAAACGCGAGGCUCAACCUCGCGCCUGCAGUGGGUACGGGCAGACUAGAGUGCGGUAGGGGAGAUUGGAAUUCCUGGUGUAGCGGUGGAAUGCGCAGAUAUCAGGAGGAACACCGAUGGCGAAGGCAGAUCUCUGGGCCGUAACUGACGCUGAGGAGCGAAAGCGUGGGGAGCGAACAGGG